UACAGGGGGGGCAAGCGUUGUUCGGAAUUACUGGGCGUAAAGGGCUCGUAGGUGGCCAACUAAGUCGGACGUGAAAUCCCUCAGCUUAACUGGGGAACUGCGUCCGAUACUGGAUGGCUUGAGUUUGGGAGAGGGAUGCGGAAUUCCAGGUGUAGCGGUGAAAUGCGUAGAUAUCUGGAGGAACACCGGUGGCGAAGGCGGCGUUCUGGACGGCAUCUGACACUGAGAAACGAAAGCCAGGGGAGCAAACGGG
rnacentral:rRNA from 1 species